rnacentral:rRNA from 1 species
CCUACGGGUGGCUACAGUGGGGAAUAUUGGGCAAUGGACGCAAGUCUGACCCAGCAACGCCGCGUGAAUGAAGAAGUCUUUCGGUUUGUAAACUUCUUUUAAGGGGGAAGAGCAGAAGACUGUACCCCUUAAAUAAGCCACGGCUAACUACGUCCCCGCAGCCGCGAUAAUACGUAGGUGGCAAGCGUUCUCCGGAUUUACUGGGUGUAAAGGGCGUGCAGACGGAGAGACAAGUCAGAUGUGAAACCCCCGGGCUCAACCCGUGGACUGCAGUUGAAACUGUUUCCCUUGAGUGUCGGAGAGGUAAGCGGAAUUCCUAGUGUAGCGGUGAAAUGCGUAGAUAUAAGGAAGAACACCAGUGGCGAAGGCGGAUUACUGGACGAUAACUGACGGUGAGGCGCGAAAGCGUGGGGAGCAAACAGGAUUAGAUAUCCGAGUAGUC